UUUUUUUUUUUUUUUUUUUUUUUUUUGGGGGGGUUUUUUGUUUUGUUUUUUAAAUUGAAGGCUAAAGUUUUUGAAAAAACUUUGUUGGACUCUGGCUGGGACACAAAAUCAGAUAUUUGGAAUCAUUUUGAAGCUUAACUUUUUCCUAACCAGCCUUGUAUUCUAAUUGCUUGCAAAUGUGAGACUGAAUGGCCAAAAUGCCGUUUGUUUGUUUGUUUAUUGUCAGCUGCUUUUAUCAAAUUCCAGGCCAUUAUCCAGCAAACACUAUUAAAAUGUUUGAACAGUUGGGUUUCAAACAUUUUUGUUUUGUGGAGUGGUGCUUAUUAAGUGGUACAGCUCUCUAAGCAAGUGAACACAAACAUAUUUAAGUGUAUUUUGUAUGAUUAGAUGUUACCAAUUCUGAUAUUUUAUUCAAAUGUCUAAAAAAAUAAGUUGACUUAUUCCCUUUACCAAAGGGCCAGAGACAAAUGGUUUCCUUUCAAGAGAAAUGACUGUUUUGAAGAAAAACUCUGUUGGUCUUAGCUCUUUUGUAAUUAAAUCUGGAUGUACCUCAAAAGACUCUUUAAGACUGUGGUGUUAAAAGGCUUUCCUCUGGAGAAGGAGAAAAAAUAAAAUCAACUGGAACUUAAAAGCUUGAAAUUCCAUGACAAAACACAGAUGUCCAGGAUUGGAGGUUCAUAAAGUACAUGCAGUAGUUGGAGUGGAUUCCAUUUUCAGUGUAGCUGCCACCAUGGACUCCAGGCUCCCAGAUUUUCAAGAACUGGACCUGUGACCCAGAAGAGCUUGUCAAGAUAUGACAGGAACUCUGGAGGUGGACGUUUUGUAUUCAAUUUUGGAACUGUUGAUCUUGCCGUGAGAAAAGAGAGACACGACUCACCAAGCACUGCCACCAGCACUGUCACUGGGAACUUGAAGAUCCAAGUUUCUGUCCAGAACCUCAGUGCAAACUGACAACACUCCAUCCAAAGUGAACUACGGUACUUGCCAUUUUCCAAAAUGCCUUUUCAUUUCUGCACUUUUGCUAUUCAUACUCUCUACCCUGGAAAUGCACUUCUGUGAUUCUUCACCUGGCAGAUCUCUGCAAUUUCAUAAAACUAAGAUGCUCUCUAACCCUGUAACUCUCUUAAUAUUAAAAAGAACAUCUUUAGGAUAAC
rnacentral:lncRNA from 1 species